rnacentral:sRNA from 1 species
AUAGCGUAUUUCGCUGGAGGACCAGUUUGUGUAAAAGUUAUUGCCUCACGUAU